CCAGAGAACUUUCCAGAGAUGGAUUGGUGCCUUCGGGAACUCUGAGACAGGUGCUGCAUGGCUGUCGUCAGCUCGUGUUGUGAAAUGUUGGGUUAAGUCCCGCAACGAGCGCAACCCUUAUCCUUUGUUGCCAGCGGUUAGGCCGGGAACUCAAAGGAGACUGCCAGUGAUAAACUGGAGGAAGGUGGGGAUGACGUCAAGUCAUCAUGGCCCUUACGAGUAGGGCUACACACGUGCUACAAUGGCGCAUACGAAGAGAAGCGACCUCGCGAGAGCAAGCGGACCUCAUAAAGUGCGUCGUAGUCCGGAUUGGAGUCUGCAACUCGACUCCAUGAAGUCGGAAUCGCUAGUAAUCGUAGAUCAGAAUGCUACGGUGAAUACGUUCCCGGGCCUUGUACACACCGCCCGUCACACCAUGGGAGUGGGUUGCAAAAGAAGUAGGUAGCUUAACCUUCGGGAGGGCGCUUACCACUUUGUGAUUCAUGACUGGGGUGAAGUCGUAACAAGGUAAGCGUAGUGCU
rnacentral:rRNA from 1 species